rnacentral:rRNA from 1 species
GACGAACGCUGGCGGCGUGCUUAACACAUGCAAGUCGAACGAUGAACCGGGGCUUGCCCUGGGGAUUAGUGGCGAACGGGUGAGUAACACGUGGGCAACCUGCCCCAGACACCGGGAUAACCUCUCGAAAGAGUGGCUAAUACCGGAUACGACCUUCUCGGGCAUCCGAAGGGGUGGAAAGGAUUCUGGUCUGGGAUGGGCCCGCGGCCUAUCAGCUUGUUGGUGGGGUAAUGGCCUACCAAGGCGACGACGGGUAGCCGGCCUGAGAGGGCGACCGGCCACACUGGGACUGAGACACGGCCCAGACUCCUACGGGAGGCAGCAGUGGGGAAUAUUGCGCAAUGGGCGAAAGCCUGACGCAGCGACGCCGCGUGAGGGACGAAGGUCUUCGGAUUGUAAACCUCUUUCAGCAGGGACGAAGCGAAAGUGACUGUACCUGCAGAAGAAGCACUGGCUAACUACGUG